UUCACGCUUUCGCUACGUCAUUGCUCUGCGCCAGAGUCGCUUGUGGCUCUUUUCAUUGAAACGUUAACACCAUAACUAAGCUUCUGGACGUGAUAAAGAUGCCUCUGCCUCCUGCUUUACUUGCGCGCCUCGCUAAAAGAGGCAUCGUGAAACAGUCUGACCACGAGGCUGAAGAGGAGAUCAUCGCUGAAGACUAUGAUGAUAACAACGUUGAUUAUGAAGCUACAAGGCUUGAAAAUUUACCAACGAAUUGGUACAAAGUUUUUGACCC